GAGUUCUGCCAGUGAAAGUAUGUUUUCCCUCAACAUUAAGGAAUCAUUGACUUGAAACAAACUCCUAUAUCUUACUGAAAAGUUACUUGUAGAUUAGUUAUGAUUUG